GGUAUGGAUUAAUCUUGUUUGGAUGUGUUGCGGCCAAUCGCCUCGUCGCUCGAUCGUCGGGAAGCGUGCACCUGCAAAAGGAAGUCCGCACUGACCGGAGGCGGCUCCGGCGGGGACCCUCCGACGGUCAAGUCAGAGAGGUGACUGGGCAACAGUGAAAUGCAGACAGAGAGCUCUGAGAAAGAGAGAGGGAGAGAGAGAGAGGAGCGAGCCUGCGUAUGCGGGAGAGACGGGCGGAUCGACCCUUUGCACUGUUGCCUUCCCCGGUUUAUAUAGUGGAGCACGGUAUGGCACCGUCAUUAAUGGCGCGGACAGGUGAGGAACUGUCAACUCACUGUAGACUGUCAGAGCCACCGUAAAAACGUCAUGUCGCCGUGUGGCCGUCCAAUC
rnacentral:lncRNA from 1 species